rnacentral:rRNA from 1 species
GGGUUGUGAGGUUAAGCGACUAAGCGUACACGGUGGAUGCCCUGGCAGUCAGAGGCGAUGAAGGACGUGCUAAUCUGCGAAAAGCGUCGGUAAGGUGAUAUGAACCGUUAUAACCGGCGAUGUCCGAAUGGGGAAACCCAGUGCAAUUCGUUGCACUAUCGUUAACUGAAUACAUAGGUUAACGAGGCGAACCGGGGGAACUGAAACAUCUAAGUACCCCGAGGAAAAGAAAUCAACCGAGAUUCCCCCAGUAGCGGCGAGCGAACGGGGAGCAGCCCAGAGUCUGAAUCAGCUUGUGUGUUAGUGGAACGGUCUGGAAAGUCCGACGGUACAGGGUGAUAGUCCCGUACACCAAAAUGCACAGGUUGUGAACUCGAAGAGUAGGGCGGGACACGUGGUAUCCUGUCUGAAUAUGGGGGGACCAUCCUCCAAGGCUAAAUACUCCUGACUGACCGAUAGUGAACCAGUACCGUGAGGGAAAGGCGAAAAGAACCCCGGCGAGGGGAGUGAAAAAGAACCUGAAACCGUGUACGUACAAGCAGUGGGAGCACCUUCGGGUGUGACUGCGUACCUUUUGUAUAAUGGGUCAGCGACUUAUAUUCUGUAGCAAGGUUAACCGUAUAGGGGAGCCGCAGGGAAACCGAGUCUUAACUGGGCGUUAAGUUGCAGGGUAUAGACCCGAAACCCGGUGAUCUAGCCAUGGGCAGGUUGAAGGUUGGGUAACACUAACUGGAGGACCGAACCGACUAAUGUUGAAAAAUUAGCGGAUGACUUGUGGCUGGGGGUGAAAGGCCAAUCAAACCGGGAGAUAGCUGGUUCUCCCCGAAAGCUAUUUAGGUAGCGCCUCGUGAACUCAUCUUCGGGGGUAGAGCACUGUUUCGGCUAGGGGGUCAUCCCGACUUACCAACCCGAUGCAAACUACGAAUACCGAAGAAUGUUAUCACGGGAGACACACGGCGGGUGCUAACGUCCGUCGUGAAGAGGGAAACAACCCAGACCGCCAGCUAAGGUCCCAAAGUCAUGGUUAAGUGGGAAACGAUGUGGGAAGGCACAGACAGCCAGGAUGUUGGCUUAGAAGCAGCCAUCAUUUAAAGAAAGCGUAAUAGCUCACUGGUCGAGUCGGCCUGCGCGGAAGAUGUAACGGGGCUAAACCAUGCACCGAAGCUGCGGCAGCGACACUAUGUGUUGUUGGGUAGGGGAGCGUUCUGUAAGCCUGCGAAGGUGUGCUGUGAGGCAUGCUGGAGGUAUCAGAAGUGCGAAUGCUGACAUAAGUAACGAUAAAGCGGGUGAAAAGCCCGCUCGCCGGAAGACCAAGGGUUCCUGUCCAACGUUAAUCGGGGCAGGGUGAGUCGACCCCUAAGGCGAGGCCGAAAGGCGUAGUCGAUGGGAAACAGGUUAAUAUUCCUGUACUUGGUGUUACUGCGAAGGGGGGACGGAGAAGGCUAUGUUAGCCGGGCGACGGUUGUCCCGGUUUAAGCAUGUAGGCUGGUUGUCCAGGCAAAUCCGGAUAAUCAAGGCUGAGGUGUGAUGACGAGGCACUACGGUGCUGAAGUAACAAAUGCCCUGCUUCCAGGAAAAGCCUCUAAGCAUCAGGUAACAUUAAAUCGUACCCCAAACCGACACAGGUGGUCAGGUAGAGAAUACCAAGGCGCUUGAGAGAACUCGGGUGAAGGAACUAGGCAAAAUGGUGCCGUAACUUCGGGAGAAGGCACGCUGGUGUGUAGGUGAAGUCCCUGCGGAUGGAGCUGAGACCAGUCGAAGAUACCAGCUGGCUGCAACUGUUUAUUAAAAACACAGCACUGUGCAAACACGAAAGUGGACGUAUACGGUGUGACGCCUGCCCGGUGCCGGAAGGUUAAUUGAUGGGGUUAUCCGUAAGGAGAAGCUCUUGAUCGAAGCCCCGGUAAACGGCGGCCGUAACUAUAACGGUCCUAAGGUAGCGAAAUUCCUUGUCGGGUAAGUUCCGACCUGCACGAAUGGCGUAAUGAUGGCCAGGCUGUCUCCACCCGAGACUCAGUGAAAUUGAACUCGCUGUGAAGAUGCAGUGUACCCGCGGCAAGACGGAAAGACCCCGUGAACCUUUACUAUAGCUUGACACUGAACAUUGAGCCUUGAUGUGUAGGAUAGGUGGGAGGCUUUGAAGCGUGGACGCCAGUCUGCGUGGAGCCAACCUUGAAAUACCACCCUUUAAUGUUUGAUGUUCUAACGUUGGCCCCUGACCGGGGUUGCGGACAGUGUCUGGUGGGUAGUUUGACUGGGGCGGUCUCCUCCCAAAGCGUAACGGAGGAGCACGAAGGUUAGCUAAUCCUGGUCGGACAUCAGGAGGUUAGUGCAAUGGCAUAAGCUAGCUUGACUGCGAGCGUGACGGCGCGAGCAGGUGCGAAAGCAGGUCAUAGUGAUCCGGUGGUUCUGAAUGGAAGGGCCAUCGCUCAACGGAUAAAAGGUACUCCGGGGAUAACAGGCUGAUACCGCCCAAGAGUUCAUAUCGACGGCGGUGUUUGGCACCUCGAUGUCGGCUCAUCACAUCCUGGGGCUGAAGUAGGUCCCAAGGGUAUGGCUGUUCGCCAUUUAAAGUGGUACGCGAGCUGGGUUUAGAACGUCGUGAGACAGUUCGGUCCCUAUCUGCCGUGGGCGCUGGAGAAUUGAGGGGGGCUGCUCCUAGUACGAGAGGACCGGAGUGGACGCAUCACUGGUGUUCGGGUUGUCAUGCCAAUGGCACUGCCCGGUAGCUAAAUGCGGAAGAGAUAAGUGCUGAAAGCAUCUAAGCACGAAACCUGCCCCGAGAUGAGUUCUCCCUGAGACUUUAAGUCUCCUGAAGGAACGUUAAAGACGAUGACGUUGAUAGGCCGGGUGUGUAAGCGCAGCGAUGCGUUGAGCUAACCGGUACUAAUGAACCGUGAGGCUUAACCUUACAACGCCGAAG